AGUGAACGCUGGCGGUAGGCCUAACACAUGCCAGUCGAACGGCAGCACAGUAAGAGCUUGCUCUUACGGGUGGCGAGUGGCGGACGGGUGAGGAAUACAUCGGAAUCUACUUUUUCGUGGGGGAUAACGUAGGGAAACUUACGCUAAUACCGCAUACGACCUACGGGUGAAAGCAGGGGAUCUUCGGACCUUGCGCGAUUGAAUGAGCCGAUGUCGGAUUAGCUAGUUGGCGGGGUAAAGGCCCACCAAGGCGACGAUCCGUAGCUGGUCUGAGGGGAUGAUCAGCCACACUGGAACUGAGACACGGUCCAGACUCCUACGGGAGGCAGCAGUGGGGAAUAUUGGACAAUGGGCGCAAGCCUGAUCCAGCCAUACUGCGUGGGUGAAGAAGGCCUUCGGGUUGUAAAGCCCUUUUGUUGGGAAAGAAAAGCAGCAGGUUAAUACCCCGCUGUUCUGACGGUACCCAAAGAAUAAGCACCGGCUAACUUCGUG
rnacentral:rRNA from 1 species